AGAGUUUGAUCCUGGCUCAGGAUGAACGCUGGCGGCGUGCUUAACACAUGCAAGUCGAACGAAGCACUUUAAUUGAUUUCUUCGGAAUGAGGUUUUUGUGACUGAGUGGCGGACGGGUGAGUAACGCGUGGGUAACCUGCCUCAUACAGGGGGAUAACAGUUGGAAACGACUGCUAAUACCGCAUAAGCGCACAGGAUUGCAUGAUCCGGUGUGAAAAACUCCGGUGGUAUGAGAUGGACCCGCGUCUGAUUAGCCAGUUGGCAGGGUAACGGCCUACCAAAGCGACGAUCAGUAGCCGACCUGAGAGGGUGACCGGCCACAUUGGGACUGAGACACGGCCCAAACUCCUACGGGAGGCAGCAGUGGGGAAUAUUGCACAAUGGGGGAAACCCUGAUGCAGCGACGCCGCGUGAGCGAAGAAGUAUUUCGGUAUGUAAAGCUCUAUCAGCAGGGAAGAAAAUGACGGUACCUGACUAAGAAGCACCGGCUAAAUACGUGCCAGCAGCCGCGGUAAUACGUAUGGUGCAAGCGUUAUCCGGAUUUACUGGGUGUAAAGGGAGCGCAGGCGGUGCGGCAAGUCUGAUGUGAAAGCCCGGGGCUCAACCCCGGUACUGCAUUGGAAACUGUCGUACUAGAGUGUCGGAGGGGUAAGUGGAAUUCCUAGUGUAGCGGUGAAAUGCGUAGAUAUUAGGAGGAACACCAGUGGCGAAGGCGGCUUACUGGACGAUAACUGACGCUGAGGCUCGAAAGCGUGGGGAGCAAACAGGAUUAGAUACCCUGGUAGUCCACGCC
rnacentral:rRNA from 1 species